rnacentral:rRNA from 1 species
AGUGAACGCUGGCGGUAGGCCUAACACAUGCAAGUCGAACGGCAGCACAGUAAGAGCUUGCUCUUACGGGUGGCGAGUGGCGGACGGGUGAGGAAUACAUCGGAAUCUACUUUUUCGUGGGGGAUAACGUAGGGAAACUUACGCUAAUACCGCAUACGACCUACGGGUGAAAGCAGGGGAUCUUCGGACCUUGCGCGAUUGAAUGAGCCGAUGUCGGAUUAGCUAGUUGGCGGGGUAAAGGCCCACCAAGGCGACGAUCCGUAGCUGGUCUGAGAGGAUGAUCAGCCACACUGGAACUGAGACACGGUCCAGACUCCUACGGGAGGCAGCAGUGGGGAAUAUUGGUCAAUGGGCGCAAGCCUGAUCCAGCCAUACCGCGUGGGUGAAGAAGGCCUUCGGGUUGUAAAGCCCUUUUGUUGGGAAAGAAAAGCAGCAGGUUAAUACCCCGCUGUUCUGACGGUACCCAAAGAAUAAGCACCGGCUAACUUCAUG